rnacentral:rRNA from 1 species
ACAGCAGCCGCCACGGGAAUACGUAGGUGGCAAGCGUUGUCCGGAAUUACUGGGCGUAAGGCGCGCGCAGGUGGUUUAAUAAGUCUGAUGUGAAAGCCCACGGCUCAACCGUGGAGGGUCAUUGGAAACUGUUAAACUUGAGUGCAGGAGAGAAAAGUGGAAUUCCUGGUGUAGCGGUGAAAUGCGUAGAGAUUAGGAGGAACACCAGUGGCGAAGGCGGCUUUUUGGCCUGUAACUGACACUGAGGCGCGAAAGCGUGGGGAGCAAACAGGAUUAGAUACCCGUGUAGUCCCUGUCUCUUAUAA